rnacentral:tRNA from 1 species
UCCUCGUUAGCUCAAUGGUUAGAGCAAUCGGCUGUUAACCGAUAGGUUUGGGGUUCGAGUCCCUAACGGGGAG